rnacentral:rRNA from 1 species
GAUGAACGCUGGCGGCGUGCCUAAUACAUGCAAGUCGAGCGAACGGACGAGAAGCUUGCUUCUCUGAUGUUAGCGGCGGACGGGUGAGUAACACGUGGAUAACCUACCUAUAAGACUGGGAUAACUUCGGGAAACCGUAGCUAAUACCGGAUAAUAUUUUGAACCGCAUGGUUCAAAAGUGAAAGACGGUCUUGCUGUCACUUAUAGAUGGAUCCGCGCUGCAUUAGCUAGUUGGUAAGGUAACGGCUUACCAAGGCAACGAUGCAUAGCCGACCUGAGAGGGUGAUCGGCCACACUGGAACGUGGACACGGUCCAGACUCCUACGGGAGGCAGCAGUAGGGAAUCUUCCGCAAUGGGCGAAAGCCUUACGGAGCAACGCCGCGUGAGUGAUGAAGGUCUUCGGAGCGUAAAACUCUGUUAUUAGGGAAGAACAUAUGUGUAAGGAACUGUGCACAUCUUGACGGUACCUAAUCAGAAAGCCACGGCUAACUACGUG